GGAAGGAUCAUAACAAAAUCCUAAUAAAAAAAAAAGUCCGCAGUUUGUUGGAGAGACCCUGACAGGUCCGCACAAUCCAGCAAACUGACCACUUAAUCCAACAAAAACCCAUUGGUCUGUGCUUACCAGGCUUGAAAACUGUCGGACAUGGAGACUCAGUCUAAACAACUGGGAGGAAAUGUCAAGAAAGCUCGAAUGCAUGAAGAAGAAUGAGGACGUGCAUUUGGGUGAAGAGAAAGCGCCUUCAGGAGCCGUAAAAAAGCUUGUGAGGACACGCAAGACAGAAGUUUCAGGAGCGAAAAGCAACGCUUCCCUCUUUAACGGGAGAGGAGUGAAAAAUCCGCAUUCAAAACCAAAAACCCCAUUAACAAGUGAAAAAGAACAAAAACAAACAAAAAUCAUACGACUUUCAACAAUGGAUAUCUCGGCUCCUGCAUCGAUGAAGAACGCAGCGAAACGCGAAAAUUAAUGUGAAUCGCAUCAGACGUGAAUCAUCGAGACUUUGAACGCAUCCUGCGCUCAGCUUGCUUUCGGGCAGGCGAGCAUGCUCGGUUGAGCGUGAACAAACAAACCAAAAAAAACUUGACAUAGUCCACCUUUCGGGGUGGUCAAAAACCUGUGUCAAUUCAUCUUCAGCGAAAUAUGUGUGUCGGAAACGGCAUGUGUGUGAAACUGGAGGCUUUGCUUGCUUGCAUCUAUCCAUGGCGGAAACGCUGAGGGUAGUCAAGUGAAAUAGAACUUUCUGCAGGAAAACAGGAACAAGAAGAGCACAUCCAAAGCAUACCCAGUUGGUGGGCAGUCAGAGACAGCCACAAACACAAGUUCAUAAGUGAAAACGAAUGGACAAGGUGGAGUGACGACUUCUGGCCGGCCAUCAGUUGAGUGUGUGUGUUCUCCUCGCUUCUGCUUUUUGGCAGAAAACCCCAAUCGACUGGAAUCAACUCCAGUCAGUUUGGUGAUGAUUCCCCAUCUUUUUUUGAUCGAAAGAGAAAAGAAAGAGAGGGCGUCCUUACCAGAUAGUAUGUUCACAUCAAGACGAGCAGGACCACCCGCUGAAUUGAAGCAUCUCAAUAAGCGGAGGAAAAGAAAACAACAGUGAUUCCCCUAGUAACGGCGAGUGAAGAGGGAAGAGCCCAAGCCUGAAUCCCAGCCACCCACUUUGAAGGGGCAACUCUGAGAAGUGGACGUGACAGGGAAUUGUAGUCUUAAGACGUCUCCAAGAGGCGGAACCCAAGAGGGACUGAAGAUGCUUGGAAGAGCACGCCACAGAGGGUGAUAGCCCCGUUCAGUUCAGGUCAGGACAAUCCACACCCAACAAGGAGGCAGUCAGCGAGUCGGGUUGCUUGAGAAUGCAGCCUGAAACGGGUGGUAUACUCCACCUAAGGCUAAAUACAGGCAGGAGACCGAUAGCAUACAAGUACCGCGAGGGAAAGAUGCAAAGCACUCUGAAAAGAGAGUGAAAAGAGCUUGAAAUUGUUGAAAGAGAAGCGAUUGUGGCAAGCGAAGGGUGACAGUCAGGAUGGACUCUCGCAAGAGAGCAGGAAAGGUCAGCACUGGCGCAAGCCAGUGAGGGCUUGUCCGUCCGUCAAGGCUGCACUAACUGGCGUGAGUUGAGGGAGUGUGAGAAUCGCGGGGUGUAGGUGCCGUCGCCAUUGCCUCACGGCAGUGUAACGACGAACAGACAUCCCGAUGACCAGAUCACGGCUACCUUGACUGAGGAAACCCAAGGCAUCAGCCUCUUCGGAGGCGGCCUGGGAGGGUGUUGCGGUUUCGGGAAGGACAUGCCAAAGGACAGGCGCCUGGGAGCCGGGGAAACUCGACUCUCAAAGGAGGCUUGGACUGGGUGAGCCCUUGUCGGAGCCGUUGACAUCCUCAAGGACAGGCCAAUGUUGCGGGUGGACAGCCAGAGAGCAAUGCCCCAAUCGACCCGUCUUGAAACACGGACCAAGGAGUUCGACAUGCCUGCGAGCGUGAGGGUGGGACAAACCCGAACGCGUAACAAACGUAAGAGGCGAGAAGCUUUCAGCAAUGGAGGCUGCAUCGCCCACCUGCUCAAAGGGACUUUGGAGGUCAGGGCAGCACCGUGGGUGCAUCCGUCUUCGGAUGGGUGUAAUCAUGGUGUUGCUUGGAUCCCUCUGGGGUACCGGACGAGCAAGAGUGAGAGUGAGCACGUCGAGACCCGAAAGAUGGUGAACUAUGCCAGGGGAGGGCGAAGCCAGGGGAAACCCUGGUGGAAGCUCGCAGCGAUACUGACGUGCAAAUCGUUCGUCAGACCUUGGUAUAGGGGCGAAAGACCCAUCGAACCAUCUAGUAGCUGGUUCCCUC
rnacentral:misc_RNA from 1 species